rnacentral:rRNA from 1 species
CCAGACUCCUACGGGAGGCAGCAGUGGGGAAUAUUGCACAAUGGGGGAAACCCUGAUGCAGCAACGCCGCGUGAGUGAGGAAGUAUUUCGGUAUGUAAAGCUCUAUCAGCAGGGAAUAGAAAAGAAGGUACCUGAAAAAGAAGCCCCGGCUAACUACGUGCCAGCAGCCGCGGUAAUACGUAGGGGGCAAGCGUUAUCCGGAUUUACUGGGUGUAAAGGGAGCGUAGACGGAAAGGCAAGUCAGAAGUGAAAGCCCAAGGCUCAACCAUGGGACUGCUUUUGAAACUGUCAAACUAGGGUACGGGAGAGGUAGGAGGAAUUCCUAGUGUAGCGGUGAAACGCGUAGAUAUUAGGAGGAGCACCAGUGGCGAAGGCGGCUUACUGGACCGAAACUGACGUUGAGGCUCGAAAGCGUGGGGAGCAAACAGGAUUAGAUACCCGGGUAA